UCUGGUUGAUCCUGCCAGUAAUGUAUGCUUUUCCCAAAGAUUAAGCCAUGCAUGCCUAAGAUUAGAACGAGUUAGAAGCAUUGAAUCUGCGAACGGCUCCAUAAAACAGUUGUAACAUAUCGCCGUGUGAUACUCCUAUACGGAUAUCCUCGGUAAUUCUGAGGCUAAUACGUGAAAAUUGACCCUUGAUCGCGGGCAACUGCGAGAGAGGGCGCUCAGCGCACUCAUCUAAACCGAUACACGGUUUGAAUACGGGCUGAGCAUGACCGCGCAAGCGGCGGCUGGCGUCCGGCUUCUGACCUAUCAACUUACGAUGCAGGCGUAAAGCACAAACAUGGUAACAACGGGUACAGAGGAUAAGGGUUCGAUCCUGGAGAGUGGGCCUUAAAAAUUGCUCACACUUCUAAGGAAGGCAGCAGGCGCGUAACGUUCCCAAUAGACAAUGUCUGAGGGCGUGAAGGGAAAUAUUAGCACCUGUCCCAUACGGGAUGGGUGACCGAAAUGGGGCUAUUGUAAAUAGCUUACCGAGUAACAAUUAGAGGACAAGUCUGGUGCCAGCACCCGCGGUAAUUCCAGCUCUAAUAGCAUACAUUAAAGUUGCUGCAGUUAAAACGCUCGUAGUCGGGACUAGGCGCCGAUCUGGUCGCUGGGAAACGAACCGAUGGGUUUGUCCCUCCUCGGGAUAGGUCUGUCGGCAACGCCCUGAUGGCCUCGGCGCCUUUCUCCUACAAAAGGGCUCCGGGAUAAAACCCGGAUGUCCCUUCUUUUACCAUGAGUAAAUUAAAGCGCCUAAAGCAAACCAUUACGGUCUCUGGAUACUCCAGCAUGGAAUAAUGGAUUAACCGGGGUCUUGCCACGGUUUCUUCAUUCGGUUUACGUUGACAAGACCAAUCGAUCGAUAGGAAUGUUCGGGGGCGGCCAAAUUGCCAGGGGAGAGGUGAAAUUCGUUGAUCCCGGCAAGUUGACCUAGUGCGAAAGCAGCCGUCAAGGGCAUUUCCGUUGAUCAAGAGCGAAAGUUAAGGGUUCGAAGACGAUCAGAUACCGUCGUAGUCUUAACUAUAAAUGCUACUGACCAGGGAUAGGAUACACGUCCAUCUCGACUCUUCCCGAACCUUAGUGAAAACAAAGUCUAUGAGUUCCGGGGGGAGUAUGGUCGCAAGACUGAAACUUAAAGGAAUUGACGGAAGGGCACACAAGGAGUGGAGCCUGCGGCUUAAUUUGACUCAACACGGGAAAACUCACCAGGUCCAGAAACCUGAAUGAAAGACAAGUUGAUAGACUUUUCUCAAUAUAGUUAGUGGUGGUGCAUGGCCGUUCUUAGUUCGUGGAGUGAUUUGUCUGGUCGAUUCCGAUAACGAGCGAGACGCAAAUCUGCCUAAAUAGGACACCGCCACCUUAGCUGGGGAGCAAUCCCUGGCAUCAAUGUGUGGCGGGUCAAUAAACUCUUCUUAGGGAUAUUGGGGUGCGAUAAGCUCCCUGAAAAUGCGCAAUAACAGGUCAGUAAUGCCCUUAGAUGUUCUGGGCCGCACGCGCGCUACAAUAGAUACGCUUUAGCACGUGUCUUUAAACCGAUCUCCUAGGGCGAAAGCCCGUGGUAAUCGUUAAACAUAUCCUCGACUGGGACUGAUUUUUGUAAUUCUAUGUCACCAACGAGGAAUUUCUAGUAGUCGCGCGUCAUCAGCGCGCGACGAUUGCGUCCCUGCCCUUUGUACACACCGCCCGUCGCUGCUACCGAUUGGAUGUCCUGGUUAGGCUUGUGG
rnacentral:rRNA from 1 species